AUUAAACGCUGGCGGCAUGCCUUACACAUGCAAGUCGAACGGCAGCACGGGGGCAACCCUGGUGGCGAGUGGCGGACGGGUGAGUAAAGCAUCGGAACGUAUCCUGGAGUGGGGGAUAACGUAGCGAAAGUUACGCUAAUACCGCAUAUUCUGUGAGCAGGAAAGCAGGGGAUCGCAAGACCUUGCGCUCUGGGAGCGGCCGAUGUCGGAUUAGCUAGUUGGUGGGGUAAAGGCCUACCAAGGCGACGAUCCGUAGCGGGUCUGAGAGGAUGAUCCGCCACACUGGGACUGAGACACGGCCCAGACUCCUACGGGAGGCAGCAGUGGGGAAUUUUGGACAAUGGGCGGAAGCCUGAUCCAGCCAUGCCGCGUGAGUGAAGAAGGCCUCGGUUGUAAGG
rnacentral:rRNA from 1 species